ACUGUGAGGAUAAAACUACCUAUUCAAGCCUCAGCAAUGGCGGAUGCCCUUCUUCUGCCAAACAUUCAAUUAUGUCAGAUGUUUCUUUUCCCAAGCAUUCAAUAUUGUCAGGUUUUUCUCCUGCCAAAUAUUUAAUCUGAUGUGUCUUCUGCCAAAUGUUCAAUCUUGUCUGAUAUUUCUUCUGCUGACGAUUCAGUCUUCUCAGAUGUUUCUUCUGACACACAUGCAAUCUUCUUAAAUGUUCUUUCUGCCAAAUAUUGCAUCUUGUCAGAUGUUUCUUUUUCUAUUUCUUCCCACAAAGCCUCCAUGGGGUGCUUUUCUUACAUCCACCCAGCUCCUCUUGUUGUCUGCAGCCCCCAGUUGGCAGUUCCUGUUACCUCUUCUUAUUGUCUGUUUCAUACAAGUUUUUUCUCUUGAGCAUAAGGAUCUGCUUCAGCUUCCAUACUUUUUUUUCUGGAUGGAAGAUUUGUGAAUCUUCCUGAAGUUCUCAACUGGAAUUUUGCACUGAUGUUAUAAGAAGAUGUUAUCACAGAAGGAGCUCAGGGGCACCUGGCACUUCUGGCUCUUUACAGCAAAGAUCUUUUUCAUGGCUGUGACUACCAACUUCAAUAACACCACAGCUCACCCUCACUCUUCCUCACCUUCCCUCCAACCCCAAUGCCAGCAAGCAAUUUUCUCUGGCCAAGAUCUCUGACAGAGGUCUCAUCGUCUUGAGACUCUUAGAGAACAAACACACCAUCUCCAGCCUCUCAGAGCAGAAACACACAGUCUCCAGCCUCUCACAGAAAAAAAUAAAUAAAUAAAUAAAUAAAUAAAUAAAUAAACCUCACCAUCUCCAGUUUCUCGAGGAGAGUCUGGCCAUCUCCUACUUCGCAGUGAAUAGACUCACUGUCUCCAGACUGUCAGAUGAGAGACUUACCUUUUGCAGCCUCUAAGAAGAGGACCCCAAUGUCUCCAGCCUCUCAAAGGAGAAACUCAUCAUCACCAGCUUUUGGAGGAGAAACUGGCUGUCGCCAGCCUCUCAGAGAAUGACCUUUCCAUCUCCAGCCUCUCACAAGAGAAACUCACCAUGUCCAGCUUCUGGAAAAUAACUCACCAUCUGCAGCCUCUCAGAGGAGAAACUGGUUGUCUUUAGCCUCUCAGAAAAGGAAUUCACAGUCUCUAGCAUCUCAGAGGACAAACUUAUCAUCCUGAGCCUCUCAGAGAAGAAACUUACUGUUUCCAGCCUCCUAGACAGAAACUUGCUGUCUCCAGCCUCUCAGAGGAGAAACGGUCACCAGCCUCUUAGAAGAAGAAAACCUUGCUGUCUCCAGCCUCUUGGAAAAAAACGGCCAUCUCCAGCCUCUGAGAAGAGGACCUCAUUGUCUUCAGCCUCUCAGAAAAAGAACUCACCAACUCCAUCCUCUCAGAGGAAGAACUCACCGUAUCCAGCCAAUCACAGAGACUCACACUCCCCAGCCUCUCAGAGGAGAGACUCACUGUCUUCGCCUCUCAGAGAAAAAACUCACUGUCUCCAGCCUCUCAGAAAAGAAACUAACCAUCUCCGGUCUCUUGCAGAGGGAUCUCACUAUCUCCAGCCUCUUACAGGGGGACUUCAUGUCUCUAGCCUCUCACAGGAUGACCUCACUUUCUCCAGCCUCUUAGAUGAGGAACUCACAGUCUCUGGGCUCUAAGAGAAGAAACUCAUCAUCUUGAGUCUCUCAGAAGAGUAACUGACCAUCUCCAACUUUCCAGCAAAGAAACUGGCCAUCUUCUACCUCUCAGAAAAGAACCUCACCAUCUCCAGCCUCUCGGAAAUGGAAUUGGCCAUCUCCCGCCUCUCAGAGGAGGACCUCAAUGUCUCCAGCCUCUCAGAGGAGGAAUUCACAGUCUCCAGGCUCUCUGAGAUGAAACUCACUAAGCUGAGCUUCUGAGAAGAGAAGCUUACCAUCUCCAACCUCCCAGUAAAGAAACUGGCCAUCUCCUGCCUCUCAGAAUGAGGAUACACCAUCUCCAGACUCUCAGAAGAGAGACUUGUCAUUCUCAGCUUCUCAGAGAAGACACUCACCAUCUCCACUUUAUUGGAAGAAAAGCUCACAGUCUCCAGCCUCUCAGAAGAAAAUCUGGUCAUCUCCAGCAUCUCAGAGGAGCACUUCUCCUUCUCCAGCCUCUCAGAGGGUGGAACUUGUAGUCUUUAGCCUCUUAGAGGAGAAACUCAUCAUCUCCAGCCUUCUCUCAGAAGGGAAACUGGCUGUCUCCAGCCUCUCAGAGGAGAAACUUUUUGUCUCUAGCCUCUCGGAGUAGGACCUCACCAUCUCCAGCUUCUCAGAAAAUAAAUUAAUCAUCUUCAGCCUCUCAGAGGUGAAACUCACCAUCUACAGCCUCUCAGAAGAGUACCUUGCAGUCUGCAGUCUCUCAAAGGAGAAAAUUGCCAUCUCCAGCCUCUCAAAGAAGAAACUGUCUGCAGCCUCUCAGAUGAGGAAAUCUUCAUCUCCAGUCACUCAGGAAAGAAACUUACCAUCUCCAGCCUCUGAAAGAAGAAACUUGCUGCCUCCGGCCUCUCAAAGGAGGAACUCACCAUCUCCAGUCUCUCAUAGAAGGGCGUAAUUUUCUCCAGCCUCUCAGGAAAAAAAAAAAGACUUGCCAUCUCCAGCCUCUCAGGAGAAACUCAUUGUCUCCAGCCUUUCAGAGGAGAGAGUCACCAUGUCCAGUUUCUCAGAGGAGGAGCUCACUGUCUUCAGCCUCUCAAAGUAGGCUGAAGUAGCCAAAGAUGGCUGAGUAGCCAUCUCCUGCUACUCAGAGAAGAAGCUCCCCACCUCCAGCCUCUCAGUGGAGACAGUGGGGUUACAAUGGCAUAGCAUUGCCCCAACCCGCAAAAGAAAUAGUAUCGAAGUCCAAUGUAAACCUAUUAAUUACGUGGCUGUGCUACAAUCAAAACAUAGAUCUCUGACGUCAGCCUUAUUGUUCUUCAUUGUGUUGAUCAAGAGCUUUCAGGUUCCUCUUUCCAUGUAGUUGAGGAAAUUCCUCAGCCCAUUGUCACCUCGGAUCUCAUGCUGCAACUCCAUCCUUAGCUCAACACCCACUGGCCCCUGCUUUCAAACGGUUGCUGGUCUUCAGGUAGAGCAGGUUCUGCAGAUCAAAGGACAUUUUUCACUAAAAAUCUCUGACAUCAGAGACAGAGACUACAUAUCUAUAAUGAACCUUUCCGAAACCUGUCCAUUAGAAAGCCACUUCUCAGUACAGAGGUGGCCCUUGGAGUCUUUCCAGGAUUUUCACAUCCAUCUGCGAAGAGGAAAAGAACUCCUGAAACUGGGCUGACUUCAUAACCAGUUUAAUUUCACACAUCUCACCUUUCUGGAGCUGCCUUGUUUUUCCCUUCUUGCAUCACUGCAGAGAAAAUUCAUGGACUUCCUAAAGACCCCAGAUGAGGAUGUCGGGAUGAUACACAAAGCUGCGUCCAGGGGAACGCGUGGGAGCUGCAGCGGAGGCUCCCGCUGAAGAGAAAAGACCAGUCUGAAAUCUACAAGAACAGAGAAUUAUUCCAAAUCAAUAUGAAAAUACCUCUAAAACUGGGCAAAGUACCUUUUCCAGCUCUGCAAGUCACCUAUGCACAUAGGAAAAAAUACUUAAUGUGUCUGAUAAGAGAAGGAAUUUAAUUUAAAAAAGGAAUGAAAUGCCGUUUUCUAUCCUAAGUUUGUGAGGAUGAGGAGCAGUGAUAUUUACACUUCUGCUUAAAGUUAAGUUGCUGAUGACUUUUCAAAAAGACAAUUUGGUGGAUGGCUCCACAUUUGGCCUGUGCCAAUGGCUGCCCAGAAGUGGUAACUUUUCUGGUGCACAGAAAAUGCCAGCUUAACAUCCGUGACAGUGAAAACAAGACACCUCUAACGAAGGCUAUAACAUGCCAAGAAGAUGUGAAACUAUUCUGCUAGACCUUGGUGCUGAUCCAAAUAUUACCGAUGUCUAUGGCAACACUGCUCUCCAUAUGCUCUCUAUAAUGAGAAUAUGUCAAUGGUAGCAAAACUGUUUUCACACAAGACAAACAUCAAAGUGAAAAACAAUGUAGAGCAACCAACGUUAUUUUCAAAAUAUUUGAAAUCCACUUGUUUUAACAUUGACAUAUGUAAGGGUCAGUUUUUCCUAUUUGGAAGCUUAAGCAAUCCCUGAAUAAAAAUAAUUUGAAAUAAUGGUCUAAGAUUUUACCUUAAAUACUAAUAUCUUUAAAAAAGUAUUAGAGAGUAUGGCUUUCUUUUAUGCAUUUAUGGUACAUAUUUGAAUUUGUUAUAGGUAAAACUUUUGUUUUCAA